GGGCACCACUUUCAGAUAAAAACAUAGACCUGAAUGGCAUCAUCCAGUCUCCAAGGAAACCAUAUCCAUUUCAUCAGUGGCUGGAAAGAGGAUGAGCACCAAUGAAAGGAGUUUUCAGGAAGACCUAGAAAACUUUCCCAGACAUCUCAAAGUCUUCUUUGGAUUUUGGUGAUCCUAGAGAAAAGCACAGGAAAUUCAACACUGAGAGAUGCAGACAUUCACUGGCUCAUUAACACUGAGAAGGAAUCUACUUCAGUCUAGCACAGGUGGAAGAUCAGGGACAGAUUCCUUAAAAGGACUCUGACAAGGUUAAAUCAAAGAGGAAGAGAAUGAAUGAAGACCUCAUAUGUAAAGACAGAAGUAAGAGGCGCAUCACACAAAAGCAACUCCUUGCUCACCAUGAGCUCUCAGCUUCACCUUGCCUCGCUCUGGAGAUUUAGCAAAAUCUUUCUGUAAUCUCACAAUUCCCUGCACUUAAUCCCAUUUUAAUUCUUACCACACUUGAUAGGUAUUCAUCCUACUUCUUAUUGCAUUCAACGAGAUUCUGAUGGCCAAUGUCUGUUUAAUUCUCCUGUGUAGUUUGGUGCUUCUUAUAGUGUUUAGAAUAUUGUAGAUGGUUAACAUUCUAUUCUUUAAAUGUAUACAGAAAUGGAUGGUUUAUUGUCAUUUUUCUAAUGUCAUAAAGUAGCAUGAUGAUAAAUCCCAUGGCCCUGAUUAGAAUACCUAUAGUCAUCAAAUGUAGGCAGUAAACUCAAGUUUUAAGUA